UGUGUUUAAAAGGACGCGUAAAGAGAACACUCACCAGUAGCGUUUAAUUUCAAGUUACAAUAUGUAUACUUCUUUAAUGCUGGUGUAUCUUGCGGUGGCUCUUACUUUUUCAAGUUGUACGGCACACAGAGGAAGAUGGUGGAACUCGCCGAGACGACCCGAAAUUAGCCUAAGAAGUUUACAUUGUGAUACAGUUGAAAAAUUUGAUCUCUGUCGUUGUUGUCCGGUAGAUCCAUGCGAUAGCGUGGAAUGUUUGAACGGGGGGAACUGUGUAGGUGGUAUUUGCGAAUGCGUAUCUGGUUACAGUGGACCAACAUGCAACAUAGAUCCAUGCGAUAGCGUGGAGUGCAUGAACGGAGGACAAUGUGUAGGUGAGGGUGUUUGUAAUUGUACCUUUGGUUUUGGUGGAACUACUUGUAACAUAAGAGUAUGUAACGUGACAGAGUGUAGUGAUAGAGGAGUAGGAGCGAGGUGUGUCAGUUUAAGAUGUAAGACCAAUGCCACAAAUUGUGGAGGUAUAGCCUGUAAUACAACUAACAACGAAUUGUGUAUUGAUGAUACUUGUGUAGUCGAAAAUGACAAUUGUGGUUCAAUGGGUUCAGAUACCGGCAUAUUUAACGCCUGUGUACCUAUUGGUGAACCAUGUGGGGAAGGUACAUUCUGUGUUAAGGGUAGAACUUGUGUAACUGACACGUGCAGGUAUGUAGAUAUCUGUAAUGAGCAGAAUGAUGAUACACCUUGCUUCGCAAUCACUACUGGCACUUGUUCAGGUGGAGUUUGUCUCGGACCAUGCAGUGACGACAUUCAGUGUAAUGGUAGGCCAUGUAUUGGUGGAUUCUGUGCAGUCAUUUACUGUGGAGAAUCAUAUUGUUUAUUGUGAGGAAGCAAGUUAUGUUACAUCCACAGAUUGAUCAACUACUAAUAUAUAAAAUUCAAUAAACUAAAUUGUAAUAUUUAAAAACUAUUAUAAGAUUUAAUAUAAUAAAGUAUAUUGUUAUAUUUAACUACUUCUUUAAAAUAAUUAAAUGCUAUUUUGUUCUUUCUUUAUAAAUUAUAUUCAUCUAAACCAAGAAACACAAUAAAUUCAUCUGUACUUCUUCAUAAAAACCAGAUAAACUAACAAGUACAAGAUAUUAAAAUGUAACCAAGAUUA